rnacentral:misc_RNA from 1 species
CACGUAUGGGGCGAGCGUUGUUCGGAAUUAUUGGGCGUAAAGGGCACGCAGGCGGACUGGAAAGUCUGGUGUGUAAGACCGCAGCUUAACUGCGGGAUCGCACUGGAAACUAUCAGUCUUGAGUUCAAGAAGGGUAACUGGAAUUCCUGGUGUAGGGGUGAAAUCUGUAGAUAUCAGGAAGAACAUCGGUGGCGAAGGCGAGUUACUGGCUAUGAACUGACGCUGAGGUGCGAAAGCGUGGGGAGCGAACAGG